ACCUACGGGGGGCAGCAGUGGGGAAUAUUGCACAAUGGGGGAAACCCUGAUGCAGCGACGCCGCGUGAGUGAAGAAGUAUUUCGGUACGUAAAGCUCUAUCAGCAGGGAAGAAAUAAAGUCCUUUGGACUUUGGACGGUACCUGACUAAGAAGCCCCGGCUAACUACGUGCCAGCAGCCGCGGUAAUACGUAGGGGGCAAGCGUUAUCCGGAUUUACUGGGUGUAAAGGGAGCGUAGACGGCAGCGCAAGUCUGGAGUGAAAUGCCGGGGCCCAACCCCGGAACGGCUUUGGAAACUGUGCGGCU
rnacentral:rRNA from 1 species